UAGCGAAGAGGUCAAACGCGUUAGGCUUAAGCCCUAACCCCGUAAGGGUUCGUGGGUUCGAACCCCAC
rnacentral:tRNA from 1 species